rnacentral:snoRNA from 1 species
UUUCCUCAAGUAAGUUCUAAAAAAUUUGAUAAUUCAAGUAGGGCAAAGGAAGUAUCCUAUUAAAACUCAAACUGGGUGUUAAUCUUGUAUCUUGUCAGAGAAAAUGAUG